CCACUCCGAAUUCCCUCACAGCUCCAAGCCUACUAUGGUUGGGGAUUUCCUGCGUGGAUGAAAAUAAAAGGGGUGAGUUUGGGGAAACUCAGUGUGUAAAUUAACCCAACCAUAGCCUAUAUCAGCUCAAACCACAUAAAUAGAAUAAGUUGGCCUUAGCCCAGAACAGAAUUCAGAAUAAAGCCCAUAGGCCCAUAACAGAACAGAACAGAUAUUACAUGUUUAUACAGAAACCCAACCAUAUCCAACCGUAUACACCCCCGUACCAACCUUACAUCGUGUGGGGAGACAACUCGACCCACCCAACCGCUACACACCACAGAAUUUGCAGCAUGGCUGCCAGAACAGAUAAUGUGACAGAGUCACCAGAUACAGUUAAUCGUGGCAGAGCCACCAGAACAGAUAUAUGUGGCAGAGCCACCAGAUCAGAUAUUUGUGGCAUAGCCACCAGAACGCUUCCUCCAUAAUAUAACCCAUGUCCCCAUGCAACAGAUAUAUAAUCAUGGCAUACAUCAUACAGAAUCAGAUCGUCAUGCUUUUCAGUCAACAUUAACCCUAGGGGUAUAACGGUAAUUUUGCACCUAGGGGUAUAACAGUAAUUUUCCAUACAUAGGGGUAUUAUAGUAAUUUAGAUACUUUUAGGGUUUUCAUGCAUAUCCUAAUUAUUUACGUACUAUUAGAACACUUACCGCGCAUACUUACUGAAUUGGGCCCGUUGGCCCAUGAACCCGAUCUUUGGCCCAUUAAGCCCAAAUUAUCAAAAUGUACGAAAUCGCGCGUACUGCAGUUUAUUACUUUAGAUUACCAAAUAUACAAACCCAACUAUCUUACGAGCAUUCGCACACUCACAAAUUCCCAAAAUACUGACUUUUCGGCAUUUCGGCUUUUCGGCUUUUGCCAAUCUAGUCUAUGAGAGGGUGUCAGUUACACACCUGUUUGCGACGAUAUGCUGACGAGAUCCACACACGAACCGCCUACAAUUGGAUUACUAACACGUUAAUCUAACUAUUCAAAUACGAACUAUGUAUUAACCCCUUACAAUAUUCGGCCAACCACACCUAUAGAUCAUAGUAAGCUUAUAAGAAAUCAAUAAGCAACUCAUUAACAAAUUUUUGUCAAUGUUUACCACAUAAUCAUAAUUUCACUGCAAGCUGUCUUCCUGAGCAACAGUCACUAAAUCAUUUAUAACUGGAGCUACGAAACUCCAAAUCAAGUUCCGUUAAUUUUCCCUGAAAUAGACUCAUAUAUCUUCUAUUCAUAAAAUUUUCAAAAUUUUUGGUUUAGCCAAUCAAUACCAGAAUUUUCUAAAAGUUUCCCAUGUUUCACUGUUUGACUAAUCUGACCACCCUUUAUUACGAAUCAAAUUUCUCAUUGUACAGAAUUCAAAAUAUGUUCUUGUUUAUUUCAUUAGAAACUAGACUCAAUAAGCUUUAAUUACAUAAUUUAUUCAGCUUCUAAUUCUUCUCCCACAAUUUAUGGUGAUUUUCCAAAGUCACAUUACUGCUGCUGUCCCAAGCAGAUUUAUUACCAAAUCACUCUUUCACACCUAACUUGCAUGCUUGUUAAUUAAACAUGUAUAUCACCAAUCAAUCAUCACAUAUCCAUGAUUUUACUUAAGUAUAAUCUCCAUUUCAUCAUUUUAAAGCACAACAUGUUAGCCGAUUUUUCCCCUUAGCAUCUAAGGCACAUGCAUGCUCAUUUGUUUGGCUCAACUUCACCUAUCUUCCAUUUUUCAUCAAAAGAACAUGAAACAACAACCAUUUCCUUCAUUUUAAUUCAUGACUAAAUGCUCACAACACAACUAAAAAUCAAAAUAUACUUCAAGAGUUAAGGUAGAAUCAAGAAGAACUCAUGAACCUCAAAAUAGAAGCAAGGUACCAAGAACUUACCUUCAGUUUUCCUCCUCCUAAUGACCGAAUACUCAAGAGCUUUCUCCUCUCCUUUCUCUUCUCUAACUUUCAGCUAUGAUGAACAAAGAUGGACAAAACUUUGUUCUUUUC
rnacentral:lncRNA from 1 species